GCUCGGGCGGCGGGACCCAGGGAAGGCAGCGGCCGGAGCGCGCAAGAAUUAGCUAGGCGUGGUGGCAGGUGCCUGUAAUCCCAGCUACUCAGGAGGCUGAGGCAGGAGAAUCGCUUGAACCUGGGAGGCAGAGGUUGCCGUGAGCUGAGAUCGCGCCAUUGCACUCCAGCCUGGGCGACAAGAGCAAAACUCCGUCUCAGAAAAAAAAAAAAAAAAGAGUUGAUGUGUUGAAAGACAGAGAAGCGAAGACAGAGACGUGGAAAGACAGGGAGAGAGACACGGAGAGAGACGCAGAAGGACAGAGACGUGGAGAGAGACGCAGAGAGACAGAGACGUGGAGAGACACAGAGAGACGUGGAGAGACACAGAGAGACUUGGAGAGAGACAAAGCAAGACAGGACGGGAGAACAAGGACAAGCUCAGGUGCCCCUGGAGCCCCAGCCCUGCCUUCAUGCCCAGCAGGUGCCCUACCUGGCCCAUCCUCCCAAGGUAAGCCUCAGCCGGUGCUGCAGGCAGUCUGACUCGCAGUCCCUCAAGUGACUUCCAAGGAGCAUCUGUAGAAAAGAAGAUGGCCCA
rnacentral:lncRNA from 1 species